rnacentral:ncRNA from 1 species
GUGUUGUAUGAAAGGAGAGAAGGUUAGCACGCCCCUUGACAAGGAUGGAAGAGGCUCUUGGGCCUGACAACAUGCAUCUGUUAAGGCAUUACCACCUACUUCGUGACAUCUAACCAUCGUUUUUU